AAACCAAAACCGAACCACCCCGGUCCGGUCCGGACCCGGUUCGGACCCGAACCGAACCGGGAGAACCGGUUUUAUGCACAUCCCUAGUGGUCAUCCAAAUGUGUGAACGUGUGGUUUCAUCAACAAACCCACCUGAGGUUUUGUACCCCAAACCUGAAUUUGAACCUUGGAUUCCAAUUGAGUUUCAAUGCCAAAACCUGGUGUCCAGAAGUGGCAUUGUGCCAUCUGGAUUCUGCCGCUGUGUAAAACUGGAGUUGAGGAUAGGAAGCUCCUCCCUCUCACCUUGAUUGGCUUCCUCCUUCAUGUGAAGGAGGAAGGCCACACAGCCAGUUCCUCCCUGCUUGCAGUCUGUGGGCUACAUAUCAGGAUCUUCUGGUAGCGCGGGAAGCAUGAUGGGGGUCAACUGCGGGUCCAUUGGACCUGCUGUUUGCCAUUAUGUAUGAAGGUGGCCUAAAACAAACCUCUCUAUUUAUGUUAUGGAGGUUACAAUUUGACAAGGUCGAAAGACACAUUCAGGUUACAUUAAAUACCUUAGUCUUUUGAAGAAAGAAAACAGGAACUGCUUCAUCCACUUUAUUUCUGCCAAAAGGAUGUGAAGCACAGCAGGGAAGCUUUUAAAAAUGCCGACCUGCCUCGUUCCCGAUCUUUGCAAAGCGUUAACUGUACGUCAUUGAUUAAGGCAGGGAGAACUUUUUGCCUUUUCAGAAAUGCGUAGAGUGAUUGAUUGUAAGUAGCACAAGUAGCACAAAUGCAUAUAAUGAUCACUACAAGGGAAAUAGCGUAGGAGAUGUUGCAGUGUUGUGAAUGGUUAAAGUUCAAACAGGGAGUCAUCCUCAGCUUCUUCGAUAGCUUCCUGUUCUCCACGUGUUUUCCAUUCUUCCAUUCUUCCAUUCUUCUUUCCUUUUACACAUCCUUAAACUGGGAUGUGUCACUCCAUCUUAGGUUUUGUUUGUUUGUUUGUUUGUUUAUAUGUUAAUGGUUAUAUGUUAAUGGUUUAUAUGUUAAUUGUUUUAUGCUGUUUUUAAAUUGUUCUGUAAUGGUAGUUUUUAAACAGGUUUUAUGCUGUUUUAAAUUUCAAUGAUUGUUUUUAAAAGGAUUGAUUUGUGGGUUUUAUUUUUAUUGGUGUGCACCGCCCAGAGCCAUUUGGAUGGGGCGGUGUAUAACUGCAAUAGAUAGAUAGAUAGAUAGAUAGAUAGAUAGAUAGAUACUGCCUGAUAUAUACAUCUCUAGCUGGUGUAUAUCUCACUGGUUUUAUAUAUCACCAGUUUUAAGUUUUCCUUUCAAAAAUUUAUACUUUUCCACUUCCCUCUUCUACUCUUCUGCUGACCCCAUCAGUAUCCACCCUUUCUUUCCACCCAGAUCUUCUAAUAGUUUUCCUUGGAAGUAGGUUUUAAUAUGAACCAGGACUUGGUAGAACCCAGUUCCAAAGCUUCUUUCCAUGCCCUUUGGAAAGCUGAUCCAUAUGCAACACAGCAGUCUAGGAGGAGCACACUGACUUGGAUGGUAACAACCAAUUCACACAAUAUUUUUCCUUUCCUACCAGCCUGUGUAAUUAAAAGGGGAACAUGCCAAGAAUACACAUAUCCUGAUGUCUUCCUUGGAUCUCUUAGGAAUGUCCCCCAAAUUCUCCCAGCAUGUUCCUUUAUCAUAUAGGCGGGCAGUCCAAAUGCUAGUUUACUCUAGCAUUAAGACUGCAUGUAAAGCAGUGGUUUGGACAAAAGAUGCCCCCGUCACACAGUAAAGGAAUGGGCCACAAAGACAUGGGAUGUCUAGGAAACGGUCUUCAAUCUAACAGGGAUUCCCAGAUGUUGUUGACUACGACUCCCAGAAUCCCCAGCUGCAAUGGCUUUCACUUGGGAAUUAUGGGAGUUGCAGUCAACAACCUCUAGGAAUCCCUGUUAGAGGGAACACUGCUAGGAAAGACCUCAGGAUGUGUGCUCUCUUGUACAUCUGCCUUGAGUUAGUUUCAGGGUGGGGAGAUGAAAACUCCCUAAACUGACACAGUGUCAUAUGUCCUUCCCACACAAUGUAUCCAGUUUAAAGUCAUUGGAGUGGAGUUGGAUGUGCCUGCAUGGGCGUGGCAAUCUCACUGCUACUGUAGCUUAAGAACCAGCCCACAUAGAUGCUGCAAGUCUGCUUUUUCUUCUGUAGGGGCUGCUGUAAAUGACAGUGAAAGCAUAUCUGUACAGAAGGCCUAGAUUGGUCAAGCCCUCAUACCCAGUGAACCUUGGGAUCUGUAGUUUUGUGAAGGGGAUGGGAGACAAUUCACAAGCUCUUUCACUGCUAUCACAAUGAAACUAGUAAAAAAAUGAGAUAAGUUUGUACUGUAAAUAUGACCUAAAGUAGUGGUGUUCAUACUUUGUUUCAGAGAACCCUGGAUUACUUGGUAACAUUUGGGAGGUCCCUCCAUAGCAAGCUCAGUCCUCUAAAGCCGUUUGUCCACCACUAUCAAUAGUCUUUUCCCACAUGCAGUAUCAGUUUUUCUUGCUACUUCCUGAAUGCUUUCUGUUCUGGAAAAGGAUACCACACAGGCUCCCAGGAUUACCAAAUCUUUGCUACUUGAUGCCGAAACAGAUGUCUUGACUUCAUCACCAGACAAAAUGUAUUCACCUCUCAAGUGUAAUAUGCCAAUGGAGAUACAGUUGCCCAUGACAACAUUUGACUUGUAUAAUAACAAGCCAAGAAGCAAGGAGAUCACAAGACCAUUGGAAGCCAGUGCCAGAAAACCAACCAGCAAGGAAAAAACAAGCCUCCAAAAUGGCACUUGGAAUUUUGAAACGUUUCGAUAGAAACUGGGUUGUUCUACUCCAAGCUGGAAACAGGCCCUUUAUUUAAAAGGUGGUCUGUUUCAAGCACGAAACCCUCCUAACAGCCCAUUUCAAGUUGAAGCAAUCUGCACAUCCCUAGGUUAUUGGAUUAUUUCACCAGUGUGGUUCCCAAAAUGUGUUUGUUUGAAAUACAUGCUGGAGUCCACCAAGAUAUUUUAAAAUGUCAAGAGAGGAGCAGGAGGGAAAUUCAAAGAACUUUACAGCUACACUACUUUAUAAGAUAAAUAAUGGGACCUCAAUGGCUGGAAAAGCCCAACUGUGCUGAUUUUAAAAACGAUACUGAUCUCUACUGGGGCAACGUUCUAAUCAAGAAAAUAUAAAGGACUUCUAGAUAGAAUGCAACAGAUUGCUAGAUACCCAGAGAUAAUUUUAAGAGUUUUAGGGCAGCAAGUUUAAUGCCAUUACACUUGGGUGCUCCAGUUCCUAUUCUUUGCUUCCACUCCGGCAAAACAUCUUGCAUAUGAGUGUGUGUGCAUGCAUACACACAGGAUGUAACAUGAGCAUGUGAGAAGCAGUGUGGUAUAGAGACUAGAGUUUUAGGACUUGGACCAGGGAGACCUACCUCCAGAUCACUACUCACAAUGAAGCUCACUGGGUGACAUUAGGCCAGACACAUCCUGUCAGUUUAGCCUACCUUACAGAGUUGUUGAGGGGAUAAAAUUGGAUGCAUGUCUUUUAUAAGUGCAUCACUUAAUAAUAAUAAUAAUAAUAAUAAUAUAAUAUAAUUCGAUUUCUAGACCGCCCUUCCAAAAAUGGCUCAGAGUUAUGGAGAAAUAAUAAAUAAACAAACAGAUAAAUAGAUAGAUAGAUAGAUAGAUAGAUAGAUAGACAGAUAAGAUGGCUCCCUGUCCCCAAAGGGCUCACAAUCAAAAGAAACAUAAAAUAGACACCAGUAACAGUCACUGGAGGUACUGUGCUGGGGGUGGAUAGGGCCAAUUACUCUCCCCCUGCUAAAUAAAGAGAAUCACCACGCUAAAAGGUGCCUCUUUGCCAAGUUAGCAGGGGGUUAGCAGGGGGUUAAAUUUGUCCUUUUAAUGUCAAUGGGACUACUUUCAGCAGUUUUCCUCAUCUUGUCAACCAAUUCUAUUCUCACAACCAGGAGAAAUCAGGCUAAGGGAGCCUAGCCCGAUUUCUCCUGGUCAUCUGCUGCCAUGGGAGCCAUGCGGCUCCUGGCAGCAAACCACCCAAACUAACCCUCCCCUUAAAAGAGGUGAGUGGAGCUAGCACUCCGCUAACCGUGUUUAGUUGAUUGUGUGCCACCAUGGUACGGGUCCGCAUCACGGCAACACAUGUGGAGACCCCCACCAGGAGGCUAAAACAAGCCUCCCAGUCUCAGGGACCUCCCCGGGAUGCCCCGUGCACUUGCAUGGAGUAUCAUGGGACUUCCAGGGGGCCGGGGAGCCCCUGAUCCCCGCAGCCCCUACCAGCUCAGUGAUGGAGCCAGUAGUCGUGUGGGCAGCUGAUCCGGCCACCCAGGGCUUGGAGGCUGCUUGUGUGUGGGGAGAGCGGUUUAAGCCCACUCUCCCCACAUAAACCCUCCUGGAGCAUCACAUGGGUCAUGUGAAGUGCCUCACAAUCUGUAUUUCUUACAACUUGAAAAAAAAAUGAAACUGUGCAGGAGUGAAAUGGUAGGCUAACACUGCUUUGACUGAAAUUUGGUCAGGCUGCAAGGUUUUGGAUAAAAUUCUCUAGAAAUCUGGCAACUGUAAAGUGUCAGGACUUGAUAGGGACUCAAUUGGAGCACCCCACAAGUGCCUUAACUCCUACACCAACCAUGCUUUGCCUUCCCGGAAAACCUGGCUGACUACACUUUGCAGUGCAAGAAAACUACUUAAGUGCACUCAACAAUGUACUGCAGGGGCUGGAGGCAGUGGCGUAUAGGAGUGUGCAAGUUGGCUUGAAGGGUUUUGGGUCAGCUGGUUUGGCUCAAACCAGCUCAACAUUUACUGCUCAAAGGGAAUCCGGUAAAGAUUCUGCUUUACCAGUAUGGUGGGCGGUGGGGGACCAGGGGCCUUAGCUAAAGUGAGUUGUGUCAUGAGGGGAAUGGUUUUUUACCUUAAAGGUGCUGCUGGAAGAGGCAGCUGUGGCAGCUGCUGCAGCAGCCUCGGGUUGGGUGGGGGUCAUGGAAGGGCUCCCCCCACUACCCCUGCCAGACCAGGCAUGGCUAGUAUGGGCCCAUUUCAGAUCUGGUUUGGGCCUCUGCAUGUGCAUUGAGGUCAAUAAAAUAGCCUCAACUCAUGCGCAGAGGCCAUUUUAUUGACCUCCACACAUGUGCAGAGGCCCGAACCAGGCCUAACCCAGUUCCUGCCUGCUCUGGCAAGGGUGGGGGGAGCCCCUGCUGACACCCCCACCGAUCCCCAAGGCUACUGCCACUGAAGCCGCUGAUGCAGCCAGUGGUAGCAGCACCUUUAAGGUACAAAAUCACUCCCCUCCCAUCACAACUCACAAGCCCCCUCCCCCCUUCCCCUUUGCUGGUAAAAGGGAAUCCUUAACAGAUUCCCUUAACAGAUCCCCCUUUACCAGUAGAGCUUUGAGCCCCGGUUUGAAUGUGCACAAAACUGGACAGGACCCAGUUCAGCUCAAGUCCGGUUUGAUUUGAGCCGAAGCAGAUUUUCUGGUUUUGUGCACAUCCCUAGUGGCAUACCACCACUGAACUGGGAGGGACUAACAUCUCCCAGAUGCUGGUUCCUUGGGGUCCCAUUGCGCCCCGGUGGGCCACUGGGUUUUAAAGAUGGUUUUGUAGUGCAUGUAGAGGGGAGAUUCUGGGAUUGCUUUGGCACAUCUUUUAGUGACAUUGGGACAGGCAUAUUCUCACUGUGGCCCUGAGUUUUCACAUAUAGGUGUCCAUAUUCAUCUGAAUCAGCCCAUUGUCCACUUUUUAAAUGCCAGUUUUGUCUAUUUUGUUUUAAUCACAUUGGGUGCAGCUUGAAUGUUAUCUUCUUUAUCCUGAGAAGCAAACUGGUGAAAUUUGAAGCUUUUUGUUUUAAAAUGUUUGUAUGCUCUUAACUUUAAUCAUAGUUCACAAUGAUUUGCCAAGAUCUAUUUCAUUCCAUAAAAAAUAGAACUAUGUUGUCUGAAUGUCAAAAUAGACAGAUAAUUUAUAAAGAACAAACAAGAUUUGUAACUAUGUGGUUAGCAUACAUUCUGCUUUCUUUCUGACAGUAGAAUAUUGGUCUAAUGUGAUUGGACCCAGACAUUACAAAUUUUCUCUUGUUUACAAAUGUCUGCCAUAAAAUCUUCCCUUUUGUACAUUAUCACUGGUGCAGUGUGUGAGAUCUUUUUACUCCUACUUUAACCCUGUAAUAAAAAAAAAUCUUGCU